rnacentral:rRNA from 1 species
UGGGGAAUUUUACGCAAUGGGGGAAACCCUGACGUAGCGACACCGCGUGAGCGAAGAAGCCCUUUUGGGGUGUAAAGCUCUGUCAACAGGAACGAAACAAAUGACGGUACCUGUGGAGGAAGCAUCGGCUAACUACGUGCCAGCAGCCGCGGUAAGACGUAGGAUGCAAGCGUUGUCCGGAUUUAUUGGGCGUAAAGAGUUCGUAGGCGGUUUGUUAAGUCUGAUGUUAAAGACCGGGGCCAACCUCGGAAAUGCAUUGGAUACUGGCAGACUGGAGUGCAGUAGAGGCUAGUGGAAUUCCCAGUGUAGCGGUGAAAUGCGUAGAUAUUGGGAAGAACACCGGUGGCGUAGGCGACUAGCUGGGCUGUAACUGACGCUGAGGAACGAAAGCCAGGGGAGCAAAUGGGAUUAGAUACCCCAGUAGUCCUGGCCGUAAACGAUGGAUACUAGGCGUAGUGGGUAUCGACCCCUGCUGUGCCGCAGCUAACGCGAUAAGUAUCCCGCCUGAGUAGUACGGCCGCAAGGUUGAAACUUAAAUGAAUUGACGGGGUCAUAGCUGUUUCCU